ACUCCUACGGGAGGCAGCAGUGGGGAAGUAUUGCACAAUGGGGGAAACCCUGAUGCAGCCAUGCCGCGUGUGUGAAGAAGGCCUUGGGUUGUAAAGCACUUUCAGUAGGGAGGAAGGUAGUGUAGUUAACACCUGCAUUUAUUUGUACGUUACCUACAGAAGAAGCACCGGCUAACUCCGUGCCAGCAGCCGCGGUAAGUACGGAGGGUGCGAGCGUUAAUCGGAAUUACGUGGGCGUAAAGCGCAUGCAGGCGGCCUGUUAAGUCAGAUGUGAAACGCCCGGGGUCUUAACCGUCGGAAUUGCUAUUUGAAACUGGCAGGCUAGAGUCUUGGUAGAGGGGUUAGAAUUUCGAGGUGUAGCGGUAGAAAUGCGUAGAGAUCUAGAAGGAAUACCGAGUGGCGAAGG
rnacentral:rRNA from 1 species